UACGGGGGGGGCAAGCGUUGUUCGGAAUUACUGGGCGUAAAGGCUCGUAGGUGGCCAACUAAGUCAGACGUGAAAUCCCUCAGCUUAACUGGGGAACUGCGUCUGAUACUGGAUGGCUUGAGUUUGGGAGAGGGACGCGGAAUUCCAGGUGUAGCGGUGAAAUGCGUAGAUAUCUGGAGGAACACCGGUGGCGAAGGCGGCGUCCUGGACCAACACUGACACUGAUGAGCGAAAGCCAGGGGAGCAAACGGG
rnacentral:rRNA from 1 species